rnacentral:rRNA from 1 species
UGGGGAAUAUUGGGCAAUGGGCGCAAGCCUGACCCAGCAACGCCGCGUGAGGGAAGAAGGUCUUCGGAUUGUAAACCUCUGUCCUUGGGGACGAAAAAAAUGACGGUACCCAAGGAGGAAGCUCCGGCUAACUACGUGCCAGCAGCCGCGGUAAUACGUAGGGAGCGAGCGUUGUCCGGAAUUACUGGGCGUAAAGGGUGCGUAGGCGGUCAGGCAAGUCAGAUGUGAAAUCCCCGGGCUUAACUCGGGUGGUGCAUUUGAAACUGCUUGACUUGAGUGCAGGAGAGGAAAGCGGAAUUCCUAGUGUAGCGGUGAAAUGCGUAGAUAUUAGGAGGAACACCAGUGGCGAAGGCGGCUUUCUGGACUGUAACUGACGCUGAGGCACGAAAGCGUGGGGAGCAAACA